UCAUUGGUGCUUCAGUGGUAGAAUUCCUGCCUUCAGUGUAGGAGACCUGGGUUAAAUUCCCAGUCAAUAUA
rnacentral:tRNA from 1 species